UAAUUUGAUUCAAGGUGGUCG
ensembl:piRNA 21ur-3069 ncRNA